rnacentral:rRNA from 1 species
CAUGCAAGUCGAACGAAGGCUUCGGCCUUAGUGGCGCACGGGUGCGUAACGCGUGGGAAUCUGCCCCUUGGUUCGGAAUAACAGUUGGAAACGACUGCUAAUACCGGAUGACGACGUAAGUCCAAAGAUUUAUCGCCGAGGGAUGAGCCCGCGUAGGAUUAGGUAGUUGGUGUGGUAAAGGCGCACCAAGCCGACGAUCCUUAGCUGGUCUGAGAGGAUGAUCAGCCACACUGGGACUGA